rnacentral:rRNA from 1 species
GACGAACGCUGGCGGCGUGCCUAAUACAUGCAAGUAGAACGCUGAAGGAGGAGCUUGCUUCUCUGGAUGAGUUGCGAACGGGUGAGUAACGCGUAGGUAACCUGCCUGGUAGCGGGGGAUAACUAUUGGAAACGAUAGCUAAUACCGCAUAAUAGUAGAUGUUGCAUGACAUUUGCUUAAAAGGUGCAAUUGCAUCACUACCAGGUGGACCUGCGUUGUAUUUGCUAGUUGGUGAGGUAACGGCUCACCAAGGCAACGAUACAUAGCCGACCUGAGAGGGUGAUCGGCCACACUGGGACUGAGACACGGCCCAGACUCCUACGGGAGGCAGCAGUAGGGAAUCUUCGGCAAUGGACGGAAGUCUGACCGAGCAACGCCGCGUGAGUGAAGAAGGUUUUCGGAUCGUAAAGCUCUGUUGUAAGAGAAGAACGAGUGUGAGAGUGGAAAGUUCACACUGUGACGGUAUCUUACCAGAAAGGGACGGCUAACUACGUG